AGAGCGAACGCUGGCGGCGUGCCUAACACAUGCAAGUCGAACGUGAAAUGGGGCAACCCAAAGUAAAGUGGCGUACGGGUGAGUAACACGUAGGUAAUCUACCAAACAAUCUGGAAUAACCGACCGAAAGGUUGGCUAAUACUGGAUAGAGCGACGGAAUCCGUAAUUGGGUUUUUCGGGAAAGGGAGCUCGCAAGAGCCUUCGUUGUUUGAUGAGCCUGCGUCUGAUUAGCUAGUUGGCGGGGUAAUGGCCCACCAAGGCGAUGAUCGGUAGC
rnacentral:rRNA from 1 species